GCCACGGCUAACUACGUACCAGCAGCCGCGGUAAUACGUAGGUGGCAAGCGUUGUCCGGAUUUACUGGGCGUAAAGGGAGCGUAGGUGGAUAUUUAAGUGGGAUGUGAAAUACUCGGGCUUAACCUGGGUGCUGCAUUCCAAACUGGAUAUCUAGAGUGCAGGAGAGGAAAGGAGAAUUCCUAGUGUAGCGGUGAAAUGCGUAGAGAUUAGGAAGAAUACCAGUGGCGAAGGCGCCUUUCUGGACUGUAACUGACACUGAGGCUCGAAAGCGUGGGGAGCAAACAGGAUUAGAUACCCUGGUAGUCCACGCCGUAAACAAUGAAUACUAGGUGUAGGGGUUGUCAUGACCUCUGUGCCGCCGCUAACGCAUUAAGUACUCCGCCUGGGGAGUACGGUCGCAAGAUUAAAACUCAAAGGAAUUGACGGGGGCCCGCACAAGCAGCGGAGCAUGUGGUUUAAUUCGAAGCAAUGCGAAGAACCUUACCUGGACUUGACAUCUCCUGAAUUACUCUGUAAUGGAGGAAGCCACUUCGGUGGCAGGAAGACAGGUGGUGCAUGGUUGUCGUCAGCUCGUGUCGUGAGAUGUUGGGUUAAGUCCCGCAACGAGCGCAACCCUUAUUGUUAGUUGCUACCAUUUAGUUGAGCACUCUAGCGAGACUGCCCGGGUUAACCGGGAGGAAGGUGGGGAUGACGUCAAAUCAUCAUGCCCCUUAUGUCUAGGGCUACACACGUGCUACAAUGGUCGGUACAAUGAGAUGCAACCUCGCGAGAGUGAGCAAAACUAUAAAACCGAUCUCAGUUCGGAUUGUAGGCUGAAACUCGCCUACAUGAAGCUGGAGUUGCUAGUAAUCGCGAAUCAGAAUGUCGCGGUGAAUACGUUCCCGGGCCUUGUACACACCGCCCAAU
rnacentral:rRNA from 1 species